CUGUGGGCAGGAGAGCUGCAGAGGUCAUGGAGAGGUGCAUCUUGGGAAAUGCCAGAGUAAUUAAGAAGAGUAAAAUUAACUGAAAGGUGGACUUCAUGAUGCAGCUUCCAGGAGGUCAUCAUCUAUGAUGGUGUGGAACUUUGAAGGGAUGUAGCAACUUGAGGAUUGCCCAUGCUACUGCAAGUAAACCCAAUAAACCCACUGGUUUGGUUUACCACA